GGGCUGCUGUCUGGCUAACACAGAGGCCGAGGGAGGGAUGCACUGGAAUGAGCCAGUGAAGUGAGAAGAAGCCCAGAGCAGGUUCUCUGUGUGUCUAUGGCCCACUGCCCUCCUCCAGCUGCAAGUGCAGAAAACGUGUGUCACCGCAGAGCUCUCACUGUCCAGCAAGCACUCACAUAAGGUUUAUUUUUAUGAAUACAACAUAAAACCAAAAACAUUCCCAGUCCUCAUAAUCUUCCAUGAGAGCAUCUACCAAAUCCAAUUGACAGUCAUAACCCCACACCUGAUAUGUUGCCCUCCUUCAAUACAGUGAAGUCCCCUCCUGAUGGAUGUGUCACAAUGUACCCCCAAGUAUACUGGGUGGUCAUGUUAUCCAUGUGCGUGUAUUUGUUUGAUAAAAUUUUUUAAAGCAAAUACUUAAAUUUCUCUAUCUCUAAUCUCACUGGUUAAUUGGUCUCCUGGCUAAUAACUGGGUAGGUUUCUCGCAUCCCUCUGAAUGUAACCAACCUGGAAAGUACUUCCUAUCUGGCCCCCGAAUCACAGCAGGACCCAGGUAGCCACAUGGCUCAGGGCUGGGUGGAAAAUUCAGACCCACCAAUGAGAGCUGGGGAGACCCUUCAUGACCCUGAGAAGUAGAAAACAGCAGCUCUGGCCUCAGGCAUCCCGGGGUUGGAAUCUCCUAGUUUCAACGACCUCAUUCGUCCUCCUACCCUUCUUGCCUGGUGGCAGCUGAUUAAUUAACUGAGACACUACAGGUCUCAGAGAUUCUGCAGAAACGAAGAUCAACAAAUACAUCUUAUUGUUGAGUGACUUGGUAAAACUGAUGUUCCAUUGCUCAGAAAUUGUUACAAUAUAUUUUACAACCAGCUUUUGUUAAUUGACUAAUAUGAACACCAUUUUUCAAAUAGAGAUUGGCAUCAUAAACCUCUCGCACAGUUAGUCCUUGGGUACUCUGCCAAAUACAUCAGGUAGGUCCCGUGGAAUCUGAAACCUCACAAGAUUCAAUGUAAUCUGGCGAGCACGGACUAUGUUUAAAUAGCAAAGAAUACCAAACACCCGCCAAUAUUCAACAAACAGGACUUGAGGCUCUCCAGCAUCAGAGAAGAAGUGAAUCCUUACGGAUGCCUCAGGGAGGCUGAGGCCUCAGGUGGGUCCCAUUUCUGUGACAAGAGUCGGGAUAAGCCGGCCCCAGGGUCAGGCCAUUUUAGAUGUGGUGCAGCAAGUUUUAAAACCGACAUUUCAAGAACGCACAAAGAGAUGGAAUGUGUUACACUUUGUUUUUAUUUGGAAUCAUAAGAGAAACAUUUUUAAUAAACCCUUAACUUCUUCUCCAUUAAUGUUAUUUAAAUAGUGAAUUCAUACAGAUUGAUUUGUUUACAGACACUCAACUGUAAGAAAAUUACAUUCUUUUGAUUAUUUGUUUACACCAUCGAAUCCAAUCAAGCCAAACAAGAUGGUUAACUAGAAUGAUUAAUGAAUGCAGCCUGAGCUGAUGGCUUUAAAUUUAGAAUGUGUUACUGAUGUCAGGGUUGAUUAGUUCUCUAUCUAAAACUGAUGCUAUUAAAAGCUUUGAGCAAUUUAGAUGUAGUCAUUGAGUAAAAUUCCAACGGGGUGAGAGAAAUUCUAUCAGGACAGAUUCUGCUGUGGCAAAUUUACAUGUGCGCAGAUAUUGGAGGGAGAGAGUGGGCCUUUACUGAUGGGGCAGCAAGAAAGAACAGGAUGCUGGAGGGGUGGUGUGUUGGCAUCCAUCACAGCAAAGGUAAAGAGACUUGGAAUAAAAAAAUACUCAUCUUUGCAUCAGGAAUCCCAAAUGGCAUAAGGAUAUGAAUAUUGAUCAUU